rnacentral:piRNA from 1 species
UCUUUUUCGUGGCGCCUCCUGCGCG